rnacentral:tRNA from 1 species
GGCUUCAUAACUCAGUUGGUUAGAGCGUCGUCACCGGUUUGGUGAGGUCAUGGGUUCAAACCCCGUUGAAGUCC